GACGAACGCUGGCGGCGUGCCUAAUACAUGCAAGUCGAACGCAGUGGGGACGGGUGAGUAACACGUGGGUAACCUCCCAUCAGAGGGGAUAACACUUGGAAACAGGUGCUAAACCGAUACUGAUGGAUGGCCCCGCGGUGCAUUAGCUAGCUGGUGAGGUAACGGCUUACCAAGGCCACGAUGCAUAGCCGGCCUGAGAGGGUGAUCAGCCACACUGGGACUGAGACACGGCCCAGACUCCUACGGGAGGCAGCAGUGGGGAAGCUUGGGCAAUGGACGAAAGUCUGACCGAGCAACGCCGCGUGAGUGAAGAAGGUUUUCGGGUCGUAAAGCUCUGUGGUUAGAGAAGCGGUAUCUAACCAGAAAGCCACGGCUAACUACGUGCCAGCCGCCGCGGUAAUAC
rnacentral:rRNA from 1 species